AAUUAAUUUAUUCUAUUUUUGAUGUUUUUAAAAAAAAGUUUUAUUCUUGCUUAGUUAUUUAUUAUAUAUUUAAUUUACAUGAAUUUUUUUUUCAGUAAUUAAUUUUAUUAUUUAUUAUUUUUAAUUAAUUAUUAAUUUAUUUUUUUUAGAAAAAUAUUGUGCCAGCAUUCGCGGUUAUACAUUUUAUGAAAUUAAAUAAUUUUGGUUUAUAUAUUUUUAUAUGAUUUACUUUUUUUUUAUUAAGGUGAAAUUUAUAAUUAAAUAUUUUUUUCUUUUUUUUUUAUUUUAAAAUUUUAUUAAAAACUAGGAUUAGAUACCCUAUUAUUAAUUUCUUAUUUUUUUUCUAGAUUAAUAUUAGUUAAGUUCUUAAAAAAUCAAAGAAUUUGGCGGUUAAUAAAAUCUUUUUAGAGGAACAUGUAUUUUAAUUGAUAAUCCACGAUAUUUUUUACCAAUUUUUUAUUUGUAUAUCUCUAUUGAUAGAAUAUUUUUUAAAUAAUUUUCUUUUUCUAUCUUAGAAAUAUUUUAGGUCAAGGUGCAGUUUUAUUUUGGUUAAUAUGUGUUACUAAAUUUUUAAGAAAAAAAUUAUUUCUUUUUGAAUGAAUUUAUAGGAUUUAAUAGUAAAUUUAAUUAAUUAAUUAUUUUGAAUAAAGUUCUAAUUAAUGUACAUAUCGCCCGUCACUCCUUUAUAUAGGAUAAGUCGUAACAAAGUAGUUUUACUGGAAAGUGAGUCUAGAUUUU
rnacentral:rRNA from 1 species